rnacentral:misc_RNA from 1 species
UGUACAAUAGGCGGUCUUAUCGCUAAAGAGCACUAAAUAGAAGAAUUAUUCAAUUUGGUGUAGUUGUUCAGAACUGCGCGUACAUACAUUUCGGUGAUUAAUUUUUGUUCUCUAUUGAUUUUUUUUAAGAUUACAUUUAACACACAAAAAACAGUUCUUAUUAUUUGUAACAUACAGUACACCGUUUGAAUACAUCAGUAUUAAAAUUUACGCCCGAGUUGACUGACUCAAUCUAUCCGCUACUAUUUGUUUUAUUUUGUUACUGUAGGGUAACUAGAACAAAAAGAGAAUAACGAUGGGUGGUGUAUUUCAUGAAAGAUAUUACCAAUUUUUAACUGAGGGCACAGUGCACAUGAGGGCACUGCAGGAUGUGUGCUGUUAAAAAUCUGGAGUAGACUAACUGUGGAAGUAAAACUUUGAUGUAUUAAAUAAAUUUUCAAUGCUAUGUCAUUCUAUUUGACUUGAUUUCAGCUUAAUUUAGCGAUAUUAUUUUGUGUCAGUGUGGAACAUUUUUCGAUAAAUACGUCAUUCCGCUGACUGUUGUGCUGGCAGACGCAAAUUCGACUUCUACCCAUGGCAAACGUUUAUUGUGGUCAUACAGAUUUAGUCUGGGCGUUUGUGCUUGUGUACUGUGUACAUCUAUACAGCCUAGUCGAGGCCGUCGAGCGUGCGUCGUUUUAUUUUAAAAAAACGCAAUAACGAUCUCGCAAGUAACUCGCUUAAAAAUAAUCCAAUUAUUCGCCCGAUGACAACCAAUGGUACCGCCCAUCACAGAUGACUUGCCUCGUUCGCGUGUUGUGUGUUCCGUCGUUACUCCUGAACGCGCCCGUCACUUGCUAUAUGUCAAUUAUUUUUUCCACCGUCGCUGUACAGAGAUGUGUGUCCGAUGUAAUUAUAACACGUUGUAAGAAUAUGAAUUAUUAAACAGUUUACGUAUUCAUGUUAGC